GUAUGUAGCCAUAUUAGAUUAAAUAUACUUGAUCUCACCUGCUCUCCUAAACUAAGCAGUCCUUGACCUGGAUAGUACACAGACCACUUUGGAAUCCCAGAUGCUGUGCACA
rnacentral:rRNA from 1 species